AAAAAGGGUGCUCGUCUUUGGCGCUUUCCGUAUUUUACGAGAAACAGUGCGGACGCAUUGUGCCGUUUGCCCAUUCCUACGCUCUUCGUGGGCGGGGGCGCGCGUCGAAUUGCCGUCUUCGAUGGGUGCAAACGCGCAUAGUGGGGUAUGGCUUUGCAUAUCCAGUGCGUAAUUUUUGUGUUAGGGGCAUAGGUAGCUGUACGUUUGGGACGGCCGGAUAGCGGAGUUCUCUGCGUGCCGGCAGUCCGUACGCUGUGCCCCA
rnacentral:snRNA from 15 species